CCGGAGCGCGGGGACGGACCGGCCGGGGCGGGAGGCAGGAGCCGCGCUGCUCCCGCUGCUGCCUCGCAGGCUGCUCCCUCGGCUCGGAGGCUCGUGUCACUGCCAGUUGUUUCAUCCAGAAGCUCAAGUCCUGUGCCUGUGAAGUGCAUGCUUCAUAUGAAGACACUCAAAAUGAUGAUGCUGGAAAGGAUUAACAGUUUAGAAAAUACCAAGACAAGAGGUUAAAAUGUCUACGAAGAUAUUUUGGGGUAGGGAGUUGUUUCAAGAUGUCCAGUUUUAUUUAGAGCUUGUAAAUAUCAUGGCAUAUCCCACACCAUGUCCUCCCUCCUCUCCUCCUUUGGGCACUUCACAUAUUCUUACCCAAAUACGCAGUAGUAACUUCUUGCAACAAAGUUGACUAAGAAGCAAAUCACUGUAUAAAUCUUUCAAAACAUGUUUAAAUAUAGCUUAGUAAACCAGGAAUGUUGGGCAGAAACUGCUGAAAGCACUCAUACUGGUAAAGCUGAAAUGCGACAUGAUCUCAACAUAUUUGAACAUUCAAUUAUAUGUUCAAUUAUAUGAAACGUUUUUCCAGGGUAAUAUCAGAUUUAAGACUGAAGUGUAGCAAAUGUGAUUGGACUGUUUUGGAAUCUUCCUAAGACAAAUGACUUAAAGAUCAAGGUGUUUUAUUUCCUAUUUGGAUCAAUGAUCAAUAAGUCUUAUAUAUGAGAAUCACACAUUUUGAAUAGAAAACACACUUUUUUAAUAAGUGCAAGUUAGACUGAAUAAAAUUACUAUGUUUGGAGAGCAAAGCUCACUAUUUUUUAAGUCAUUGCAAUCUAUAUAAUUAUGAAGUAACUUGAAUAAGGCAUCUUACAUUGGUCCUAAAUUUUUUACUCAAGUAAAACACACAUUGAUUCCAACGUGAGUGUUGCCUGAGUAAUAGAGUUCCCUGUCAAACUGUUAAAAUCAGCUAACUUUCAAAAGCCUGCAGAUUGAUGGAAUAACGUGAUUAUACUAAAGGUAUGUAUUUAAUAUGGAAAAAAAAAUAUUCAAGUAACCAGGCAAAGCCUCUUCACAUUUCCCACUUACAAUAAACCAAGGCAGUAAUAAGUAAAUAUUUUUAGGGGGUUUAUAACUCUGUGACUGCUCAUAAAGACAUUUCAGCUUGUGAUUUUAUUUAUGUAAGUCAUGCCAGUGAAUCAGUACUCUCAUGUCACAAGUAUCUGAGGUUUAGCAUCUAGGACAAUAGACAUAGGAAUAAACUGGCUUUAAAUAUUCCACUAGCAAAACAAGACUGCUUUUUGCCGUGGAUGGCACUGUAAGAGUUCUUUUGCAAUGUCGUGUUUAAAAGUUUGUGAGUGAUGAUAUACAUUCUCUUUGUUUUGAGUGAAUAAGCCCUUUGUCAAAAUAACGUAGCAGAGUUAGAUUUUAAAAAGGUUCUCACAGAAAGACAGAAUUCCUUCACAAAAACCCAUCAGACAAACGAAAAAUACCGACAUACACCUUUUUCUUUUUUUUUUAAUGAAGUAUUAAAGCUUGAUUCUAAUAACAAUAUUAAGUAAAUAAAUGUUAGCUCUACUCAGUGCUAUUAGCAUAGUUGAAAUAGUAGUUUAUAAAUUUUUGAGAGCAUCAGCAUCAUGAUAUGGUUGUCAUAGAAACUGCAACAAUAUGUCAUUUCAAUUAAUUUUACAUGCAGUGAUGCUGAGGUCCAUGUAACAAUUCUUUUAGGAAGUUCUAGAAGUAAAUAUUGAAUAGAAGGAAUAAAAACAUUAAUAGGUAAUGGUACCCCUAAAUUAUUAUUUAAUUAACAAAAUGGGAAGAAAUCUAAAUUAUUCUAAAAUAAUGACUGUGCUGGAGGAAUUAGUUAAGCAGACUUUGACUUCACAACACCAAAAUUAAAUGACAAAAGCUACGGAAACAUUCAAACUCUAAGUGAAAAAAGUAUCUUUUUCCAAAUAAAGCAGGGAAAAAAAAAAACAUAAAAAAAGAGAUUUAUUCCUGUUCACAAAAUAUAAAACAUGCAAUAGUUUUAAAUCGUCAAUGUUCCUUUUGUGCGAGCAAGAAGCAAAAAGUCAAAUGUUACAAAUCCAGGACCAUAAUACAAGAUUUUUAAAAAGCUUUAAAGGUAGGAAAUGUAACAUGAAUAGAUUUAUUUUUCCUGUAUAAUGCAGCUACUGUGUGUUAUGAAUGCUACCUUAAGUAAAUCAUUGCCAGACACACUCAACUGACAUUAAUGACUUGAUUAUUAGAACAGAAAAGCUAACCAAAAUAAAGGCAGUGUUUCUAAAAAAAUAAUAAUUGUAUUGUAGCAGUGUGAGUUUUUAUUUAUUAUUUUUAAUGUUAUGUAUGAACACAUACUUCUGUUUUCUUAUUGCAUAUAUAUGAUACAAUACCUGACCUGAUAGUUUAUAUAUGAAAGAAAAUACCGAGCACAUCGUAAUGAGAAAAAAAUUUAGAUUUUCAACACAUUAUAUACAGGAAUCAAUACUUCCACAGUAUAUUUUAUUUAAAUUUACUGAGUUGCCACACAGACUAGAACCUGCAAGACCUUUCAAACUGAGAUGUGAAACAAGCUGUUUGUAAGUAAAUGAAAACUAUCGAUAUUACAAAAAAGAAAAUAAAUUAAAAGGAAAAAGAAGAAAGCCCCCAGCCUAAGGAAGCUAUCUGCAGUGAGAAAGGAGAAGCAUCUAGAGCUCUCCUUUCUGAUAGGAUUAAGGAAUGCUACAAAAGAAGCAUUUAAAUCUCUAGUUUUCCCUGACAAUUAACAAUGAAAAGCAGAUGUUUACAAAGCUAUUUUACAUGCUCGUUUAUAAGAUGCUAAAAGAUGGUUUGUGGAUGGUAAGAAGGAAGAGCUGGAUAACUGCUUGUCUGGUGUAUAUUUAAAAGCAUUUUCAUUGGCUCAGUUAUUGUUAAUAAUGAAAGAAACACUUUGUGCUGUAUAGCUGUGACUAUAGAAAACUGCCAUCGUAAAGUCCUCAACAAACUCUUAAGAUGCAAUUUACAAAGAUAAUAAUAUCACAGAAUUAUUUCACUUCUCUGAAUGCUACACAUUUGCAUACCAGGACUGUGUACAAUAUACUCAUAAUGCACAUUCAUAACAACAAGGACUUCUUAACAUUGCAACAGCACAAGAUCUGUGCAUUAAAAAUCUACAGUUCCAAGUUUUCCUUUUUGGUGGGAAACCAUUUGUAUAAACCAGAUGCUCUGCAUCUACUCAGAGAAAGCUCACGUUCAGCUCUACACCUUUAUUGAAUGAGAUCAUAUUGGGAAAAUGACAAAACACUGAAAGGUAGCAGCAAUAUUAAUAAAUUCCCCCUCACAGAGAAACAUGGCCAAUUAAGUUUUCACACAAAUUUGAGCAGAAGUCUGGUCUAUAACUGUGAGUCAGGAGAUGUGGGUUCUAUUCCUGGCUGUGCUACAAACCUACAGAGUGUUUCUGAACAAGUCACUUACACCAAGUCACUUGAGUAGAAAAAUGCUAAGAAUGCCUGUCUCAAUUUAGACAGAUCCAUAUCUGCCUCUAUCUGCUUCAAUGCCUGCAAAUGUGGAAGUAAGUCCCUAAAAACCUGGGGCCUACCCUUUUUGGACUUUGCAUCUUAUCCUAUUUCUAUACCUGGAGGGAGCCUGUAGGGGACUUAAUUCAUGAAAGACUCCUCACAUACUGAUUAUAUUUAUGCAAAACUAGAUCCCCAUUAAAAGGCCCAGCCCUGCUUGUUUCACGCUCACAUUUCACUUCACACAUUUGUAGGAGUCCCAUUUACUCUAAUAGACUUAUUCACUC